GCACAUCAUCUUCAAGUGAGGCCGGGAGCUCUCCUCCAAGACAACGUCGUCGACAUGAUACGUCAUCAUCUGUGGAGGAGAUGCUUCCCGGCCAAGGGACGGCAGGAGAGGAGGAAGUCGGGGGUGGAGGACAGCAAGCGUCAGCUCGUCCCGUUGACUCAGAGAG